GCUGAGGAGGUGGCACAUGUCCUGCUCUCCCCCAAAACCAAGAAUUGAUGGGAAAGUUCAGGCCCAGCUCUGAGCACAUCCAGCAUGGCCUGGGCAGGGAAUAGUGGAGCAAAGCAGACAGGAGCCUUCUCCAGCUGACGGGCAGUUUCUGGUUUCUCUCCCCAGAGUGCCAAAAUCUGAUCGGGUGGUGUUUAUCUAUGCACUCCUUGGACAGACCCUCAUUAGAAGAGGUGUUCUGUCAUCCUUGGAUGCAGGAUAUUCAUCUGCCCUAGAAGAAGAGAGAGAGCCAGAGGCACACUUUGAUCCAGGGCCCUGGGAAGGAGAAGGAGCUCCCAGAGAAGCUGUACCAGGUGGGGCUGCUGCUGCUGGAGACAGCGAGGAUGACAUCAAGGAUGACAACCUCUUCCUCAACCUGGCCACCAGCAGUUGAAGAGGAAGCAUUCUGGUUAGUCCAGUCUGGAUUGGGAAGUGCUUGGAGCAGCUGUGGCAUGGAUGGGCCGUGCCCUUGGAGCAGGCUGAGGACAUCGUUUGGGACCAGCUUUUCUUCCAGCCGUGGAUGGCAUGAGAAGUGCCACGAGUGGGCCAAACGUGGCAAGUGGGCCGUGUUCCUGAGGCAGUGCAGUCUGGAGCUGCUGGAUGGAGAAUUGCCCUGCUGCACUUCCAAACCAGAGCAAAGAGCUAAAACAUGUCCUGUAAAAGAAGUGUCCUUUUCUCCUGGUUCCCAUGUGGAGCACCUCCGUUCCUGCUGGCUGAGCUGCUCAGGCAGAGCCCAGCAGCUCCUGGCCCUGCAGGGCUGAGGCUUUUUCCCGUUGCUGGGCACAGACUGAUGGAGCAGCACUGCUGAACAUUGGGGCACACCCAGAGGGACCAGGAGCAGCUGCCUUUGGCCACCUGAGGCUCCAAGGCCCAAACUCUGAGCAGCCAGGGCUGGA